GGGACUGUCAGGUUUCUACAUGUUUAUACUGUUUCGGAAGAAUAGAAAACUUAAUUGCUAAAGGCUCUAAAGCUGAUAGUGAAUUCUCAAAUAAUAAAUGCAAAAAAUCAAAUUGUUCCUUUAUCUCGGAGUUUAGUAGCAGUCUAAAAAAAGUUGCUUGUAAACUUCAUAGUAUCAGUUAUCUUAAGGACACUUGAAUACUGAUUAGUUUUUUAUAUGUUGCUCUUAAGUCAAUUGAACUUUUGAUAUGUCAUUUGCUUAAGUAAAGUCAAAUAUGAAAGUAUCUUAUGUAUAUUUUUCUUUAUCUAAUGAAAUCUAUUAGAUAGCUUCUGAAAUAUUGUUAUUGACAUGGACGUGGGUUCAAAUCCCACCAGUUCCA
rnacentral:tmRNA from 1 species